AGAAUCAACGCUGGCGGCGUGCCUAACACAUGCAAGUCGAACGCGAAAGGGGAGCAAUCCCUGAGUAGAGUGGCAAACGGGUGAGUAACACGUGGGUGACCUGCCUUCGAGUGGGGGAUAACGUUCCGAAAGGAACGCUAAUACCGCAUGACAUCCUGCUUUUGGAAAAGCGGAGAUCAAAGCUGGGGAUUCGCAAGAACCUAGCGCUUGAAGAGGGGCCCGCGCCUGAUUAGCUAGUUGGUGAGGUAACGGCCCACAAGGCGACGACGGGUA
rnacentral:rRNA from 1 species